UACGGAGGGGGCAAGCGUUAUUCGGAAUUAUUGGGCGUAAAGGGCGCGUAGGCGGCUAGAUGUGUCAAAGGUGAAAUCCCUCGGCUCAACUGAGGAACUGCCUUUGAAACUGUCUGGCUUGAGGCCGGGAGAGGGUAGCGGAAUUCCCAGUGUAGCGGUGAAAUGCGUAGAUAUUGGGAGGAACACCAGUGGCGAAGGCGGCCUUCUGGACAGUGACUGACGCUGAGACGCGAAAGCGUGGGGAGCAAACAGG
rnacentral:rRNA from 1 species